AAGGAAAUGACGGAAGGGCACCACAAGAACGCGUGGAGCAUGUGGCUUAAUUUGACCCAACGCGGGAAAUCUUACCGGGUCCGGACACACUGAGGAUUGACAGGCAAUAUUACUUAAAUAAUUGAAGCUUUUGCGGAAAUUAUUUUUGUAUGUAAAUAUGCUAGUCCUUUCAUGAUUAUGUGAUAGGUGGUGCAUGGCCGUUCUUAGUUCGUGGAGUGAUCUGUCUGCUUAAUUGCGUUUCACU
rnacentral:rRNA from 1 species